rnacentral:lncRNA from 1 species
GAUAGGAUACAUUCAUAAUUCCAUACGCAUAGACAAAAUUAUAUAUAUGCAUAAAGUUGAAAGCUAUAAAAUUAUAAAAUAGAACGCGCCCGUCCCCAUGUGAUGCAAAAGUCAGAUUAAAUGUCAAAAAAUAAAUCAUAUAAGAAUCUAUGAUUUAUGCAUUGAACGUGUUCUUUCAAUCUUUAUAAAAGAAUGCUUUGUAAUUCACUCGAAAACAAAAGGAAGGGCCUCCGAGUCUGUGUCUACAUGUGUGUUUGAUGCGUGACAGGACAUCUACCCUUCUUCAAGGCAUCUAUCUUUCUAUCUCACUUUUUUAAAUUGGAUUUUUCUAAAAUGAAAACAUUGUCAUAAUUCCUAAAAAUACUAAUUUUAUUCAUUGUUAAAGGAGAUAACUACUGAUUACAAAUUUUGAAUAGAAUUUUACAAGGAAUGUUGGAAUCCAUACCUUUAUUAUAGAUUUACUUACAGGGUGAAGUAAUCGAUCAACAAACAUGUGAUGAUGAUGUCGCUCAAAUCCGCUGGAUUAAUGGCUUUCAUCACCUGAUGAUCGAUAGCUCACAUGUCCACUAUAUGUCAGUGUCGUUGAUUUAAAGCAAGCGAAGAAUUUCAUUCUGCAUGGACGUUUUUUAUGGGCUUUCGAAAACAGCUCAAGCAAAACAUCUCGAGCAUACCUUGCUAAUUACAGACUUCAGAACGUCACCUCUCUUUGACAAAGCUCGACCUGACGGUGGUGCUGAUUUGACCCCCAAUGUUUUCAUUGCUGAUCAUCUGUUGAAUCAGAAAGAAAGACCUGUGAAUUAAAUCAAUCUUCUUCUGCUGUGCCUGUAGAUCCUGUAUAUCGCAUCAUUAAAAUUUACUAUCCAAAUCUCCUCCAAUAAUUGUCGCCAUUGGCUAACGUCAGCUUUGUUACCCAACAAUUAAAUGACGUGUCAUUUCACAUUUUCACUUAGGAUUCAAGGAUUCA